GGGUGUGUAGCUCAUAGGAUUAGAGCACUUGGCUAUGAACCACUGUGUCAAGGGUUUGAAUCCAUCCUCGCCCA
rnacentral:tRNA from 2 species